rnacentral:rRNA from 1 species
AUGGCAACUAAAUUGACUGCAUGGUUAGAGGCUAAUGUGCAACACGCGGAGGCUCGACGAUACACCUACAUAGAAUUUCCUGAAUAUUGGACAUGGCACCAACAAGAGAAAUAUUGGGGUUUUCGUCGAGGUGCUCAUAAUAAAAUUACCCGAAUUGCACAUGUCAACCCUUCACAAGGGGAAUUAUUCUACUUGCGGAUGUUGCUCCACGUUCGUAAAGGCCCAACAUCCUUCACUGAUAUCUGAACUAUAUCAGGCCAAGUGUAUCCUACAUUUCGUGCUGCAUGUGAAGCUCUAGGUCUCCUAGGUGAUGACCAAGAGUGGUUGAAUGCUUUAAAAGAUGCAGCUCAGUGGGCAUUACCAUUUCAAUUACGUCAGCUUUUUGUUACCCUGCUGCUUUUUUGUGAUGUAACAAAUCCUAUCAAACUUUUUGAAGAACAUGCAUCACCAAUGUCUGAAGAUAUAGCACAUCGGUUGAAUCCUGGUCGUUCUCAGACAAGCAAAUCAUCACUACAUUCAUACAUGACAUCUUGUCUUCUCAUUGAGCUUGAUAAAUUGCUAAGGGAUUCUGGGUAUUGCUUAUCCCAUUUUAAUUUGCCACUACCAGAUGAUAUGGGAAAUGCUUCUUCAAAAAACCGAAUUUUGCUCGAUGAGCUUAGCUAUGAUAUUCCAGACAUGACAUCCACUUUGAAUGAUAAUAUUCCAAAGCUAAACAGCAACCAGAAGGAUGUAUUUCAUGCUAUCUAUAAUUCUGCAAUAAAUAAUGAAGGCCAAACAUUCUUUGUUUAUGGAUACGGAGGGACUGGAAAAACUUUUCUAUGGACUACUUUAAUGUAUUCGUUAUGA